CCGCACUGCCUCCGGUGGCUGCUGGGAUACCGGAGGACUCGGGUCCCGGCUCGACUCAGUCUUCCAGCCGCCCGGGGAAUACCUCUAGUUCUUCCCGGCCGCCGCCGCCUCCGCCCCGCCGCUUCCUCCUCCGCCGCCGGCCUCCUUCGCCCCGCCCGUCCGCGCAGCGCGUCCGGCCCGCCCGCAGGCCAGCUUCUCUCGGGAGCCCCCACCCAGGCUCAUGGCUCCAUGAAGCAAGAGGAGGAGGCAGAGCGCGAGAGGUCCGUCCGCCCCAGCCGCGUCUGGGCCAGGAGAAAAGCAAAACCAUAUUCCUGCUGCUGUCAGUUAUGAUGCACUGAGAAAACUUCAGAGACCUAAGCUUUUUCCAGAGAAGAGAAGCUUUACUGGUGUUCCAGCCCUAAGGCUCAUAUGACAUUAACAGACAAGACACUUUUCAGAAAGACAGGCAACGUGUUGGACCUUCCUGAGCUUCUCAGAAGACAGAGGAUUUUCUUUUGAG
rnacentral:antisense_RNA from 1 species